CCUACGGGAGGCAGCAGUGGGGAAUUUUGCGCAAUGGGGGAAACCCUGACGCAGCAACGCCGCGUGCGGGACGAAGGCCCUCGGGUCGUAAACCGCUUUCAGCAGGGUAGACCACGACGGUACCUGCAGAAGAAGCUCCGGCUAACUACGUGCCAGCAGCCGCGGUAAUACGUAGGGGGCGGGCGUUAUCCGGAUUCAUGGGGCGUAAAGCGCGCGUAGGCGGCCGCCUGAGCGGAACCUCUAACCCCGGGGCGCAACCUCGGGCCGGGUUGCGGACUGGGCGUCUCGAGUGCGGUAGAGGAGAGCGGAAUUCCUGGUGUAGCGGUGGAAUGCGCAGAUAUCGGGAAGAACACCGAUGGCGAAGGCAGCUCUCUGGGCCGUCACUGACGCUGAGGCGCGAAAGCUGGGGGAGCGAACAGGAUUAGAUACCCGUGUAGUC
rnacentral:rRNA from 1 species